UACGUAGGGUGCGAGCGUUGUCCGGAAUUAUUGGGCGUAAAGGGCUCGUAGGCGGUUUGUCGCGUCGGGAGUGAAAUCCACUGGCUUAACUGGUGGCUUGCUUUCGAUACGGGCAGACUGGAGGUAUGCAGGGGAGAACGGAAUUCCUGGUGUAGCGGUGAAAUGCGCAGAUAUCAGGAGGAACACCGGUUGCGAAGGCGGUUCUCUGGGCAUGUCCUGACGCUGAGGAGCGAAAGUGUGGGGAGCGAACAGG
rnacentral:rRNA from 1 species